ACGUUAGCGGCGGAUGGGUGAGUAACACGUGGGUAACCUACCUAUAAGACUGGGAUAACUUCGGGAAACCGGAGCUAAUACCGGAUAAUAUUUCGAACCGCAUGGUUCGAUAGUGAAAGAUGGUUUUGCUAUCACUUAUAGAUGGACCCGCGCCGUAUUAGCUAGUUGGUAAGGUAACGGCUUACCAAGGCGACGAUACGUAGCCGACCUGAGAGGGUGAUCGGCCACACUGGAACUGAGACACGGUCCAGACUCCUACGGGAGGCAGCAGCCC
rnacentral:rRNA from 1 species